rnacentral:rRNA from 1 species
AGUAACGCGUGAGGAACCUGCCUUUCAGUGGGGGACAACAGUUGGAAACGACUGCUAAUACCGCAUAACGUAUUUGUGUCGCAUGGCAUGGAUACCAAAGAUUUAUCGCUGAGAGAUGGCCUCGCGUCUGAUUAGCUAGUUGGUAGGGUAACGGCCUACCAAGGCGACGAUCAGUAGCCGGACUGAGAGGUUGGCCGGCCACAUUGGGACUGAGAUACGGCCCAGACUCCUACGGGAGGCAGCAG